rnacentral:rRNA from 1 species
UACCAGCUCUCCGAGUUGUAGGGAUGAUUAUUGGGCUUAAAGCGUCCGUAGCUGGCUUAGCAAGUCUCCUGUUAAAUUCAGCGACCUAAUCGUUGAGCCGCGGGAGAUACUACUAGGCUAGGAGGCGGGAGAGGUCGACGGUACUUUCGGGGUAGGGGUGAAAUCCUAUAAUCCCGGGAGGACCACCAGUGGCGAAGGCUGUCGACUAGAACGCGCUCGACGGUGAGGGACGAAGGCUGGGGGAGCGAACCGGAUUAGAUACCCGAGUAGUCCCAGCUGUAAACUAUGCGGGCUAGGUGUUGGGGUGGCUACGGGCCACUUCAGUGCCGCAGGAAAGCCAUUAGGCCCGCCGCCUGGGGAGUACGGCCGCAAGGCUGAAACUUAAAGGAAUUGGCGGGGGAGCACCACAAGGCGUGAAGCUUGCGGUUC